rnacentral:rRNA from 1 species
CCUACGGGUGGCAGCAGUGGGGAAUAUUGCACAAUGGGGGAAACCCUGAUGCAGCGACGCCGCGUGAGUGAAGAAGUAAUUCGGUAUGUAAAGCUCUAUCAUCAGGGAAGAAAAUGACGGUACCUGAUUAAGAAGCCCCGUCUAACUACGUGCCAGCAGCCGCGGUAAUACGUAGGGGGCAAGCGUUAUCCGGAUGUACUGGGUGGAAAGGGAGCGGAGACGGCAGUUCAAGUCUGGAGUGAAAGGCGGGGGCGCAACCCCCGGACUGCUUUUGAAACUGUACGGCUGGAGUGCAGGAGAGGCAAGUGGAAUUCCUAGUGUAGCGGUGAAAUGCGUAGAUAUUAGGAGGAACACCAGUGGCGAAGGCGGCUUACUGGACUGUAACUGACGCUGAGGCUCGAAAGCGUGGGGAGCAAACAGGAUUAGAUACCCUGGUAGUC